CAUUACGUCGUGGUGAGGACGAUGGGUUGAGUCAGUAAUGAACGGUUGGCCAGUGGGAGCGAAGAACGUGUAGAUACAGGGACCAAAGGAGCCAAUUACCUCAGAUGGGUGGAUCCACAAUAUGGCAGUAUAACUCGGACCCCAGCAUAGAUCAUUGAGGGAGCUGUAGUAAGGAUGAGGGCAUCGCUGGCGAGGCAGGAUUUAUUGCCCAUCCCUAAUUG